rnacentral:lncRNA from 1 species
UACACUUUUACACAAAAAAUUGAGAGCAACAACAAAAUAAACACAAACAACCUUAAAUAUUUGACACAAAUUGACCAAAACAUGUUUCCUUCAACAUUCUUAAAGACAAAUCCCUCACGAAAAUUACGGUUGAAACUUCUGGAAGGCUAGGUGGUGCUAAAAAUGCAAUCACUCGGAUCAAAGAUUCAUCCAAGGUUCUUACAAGACAAACACCUCACGAAAAUUACGGUCGAAACUUCUGGAAGGCUAGGUGGUGCUGAAAAUGCAAUCACUUGGAUCAAAGAUUCAUCCAAGGUUCCAUUGUGUCCUUGUCGUUGCAUCGUGCUCUAGUCUGAAUGGUGGUAACCACAUCCAAAUUCAUGGCUCAUCUUCCGCAAGCUGCACAUUGUAUCCAUGCUUUAGGUCUGUAACAAUCAAGGUUCCAAUGAAGAAUGUUUAGAUGUUCAAUGAUCUCAUAUUUCCCCAUGAAAAUGCAAGGAUUGGCUCGGGCUUGAACAUUGGUACAUUUAGCUAAAGCUUAAAAAGAAAAAACAAAAGGUUGACGGAAGAAAAUACAUGAUAGACACGACAAGGAAUCAAGGUAAGAUGGCAACAAAGCUUCAAA